UACGGAGGGUGCAAGCAUUAAUCGGAUUUACUGGGUGUAAAGGGUCCGUAGGCGGUGUGGCAAGUCGGGAGUGAAAUCUCUGGGCUUAACCCAGAGGCUGCUUCCGAAACUGCCAUGCUGGAGUGUGGGAGAGGCGAGUGGAAUUGCAGGUGUAGCGGUGAAAUGCGUAGAUAUCUGCAGGAACACCCGUGGCGAAGGCGGCUCGCUGGACCACAACUGACGCUGAGGGACGAAAGCUAGGGGAGCAACCAGG
rnacentral:rRNA from 1 species